UUUCCGUAGGUGAACCUGCGGAAGGAUCAUUAACGAGUUUUAAGUGGGCUUGAUGCUGGCUUUACCAAAAGCAUGUGCUCAGCCUCGCUCUAAUCCACUCAACCCCUGUGCACUAUUCGGAGUGUUGCAAGCUGAGACUUGAAUAGGUCUUGGUCGCGCUUCUAAUGCGGCUGGGUUCUAAGACAGUCAAGGCUUGUCCUCCGGUCUAUAUACAAACUCUUAUAAUGUCUUGUAGAAUGUGUUAGCCUCUCGUUAGGCGAAACUUAAAUACAACUUUCAACAACGGAUCUCUUGGCUCUC
rnacentral:misc_RNA from 1 species